rnacentral:rRNA from 1 species
AGUGAACGCUGGCGGUAGGCCUAACACAUGCAAGUCGAACGGCAGCACAGUAAGAGCUUGCUCUUACGGGUGGCGAGUGGCGGACGGGUGAGGAAUACAUCGGAAUCUACUUUUUCGUGGGGGAUAACGUAGGGAAACUUACGCUAAUACCGCAUACGACCUACGGGUGAAAGCAGGGGAUCUUCGGACCUUGCGCGAUUGAAUGAGCCGAUGUCGGAUUAGCUAGUUGGCGGGGUAAAGGCCCACCAAGGCGACGAUCCGUAGCUGGUCUGAGAUGAUGAUCAGCCACACUGGAACUGAGACACGGUCCAGACUCCUACGGGAGGCAGCAGUGGGGAAUAUUGGACAAUGGGCGCAAGCCUGAUCCAGCUAUACCGCGUGGGUGAAGAAGGCCUUCGGGUUGUAAAGCCCUUUUGUUGGGAAAGAAAAGCAGCAGGUUAAUACCCCGCUGUUCUGACGGUACCCAAAGAAUAAGCACCGGCUAACUUCGUG